rnacentral:rRNA from 1 species
GAAAUGCGAUAAGUAAUGUGAAUUGCAGAAUUCAGUGAAUCAUCGAAUCUUUGAACGCACCUUGCGCUCCUUGGUAUUCCGAGGAGCAUGCCUGUUUGAGUGUCAUUAAUAUAUCAACCUCUUUAGCUUUUGCUUAUUGAGUGUUGGAUGUGAGGGUCUUUUUGCUGGUCUUUUUUAAAUCAGCUCCCUUCAAAUGCAUUAGCAGAACAAUUUGUUGAUCUUUCAUUAGUGUGAUAAUUAUCUACGCUAUUGAUGUUAAGCAAGUUCAGCUUCUAAUAAUCCAUUGACUUGGAUAAUUUUUUUAUUAAUGUGACCUCAAAUCAGGUAGGACUACCCGCUGAACUUAA